UACGGAGGGUGCAAGCGUUAUCCGGAUUCACUGGGUUUAAAGGGUGCGUAGGUGGGUCUGUAAGUCAGUGGUGAAAUCUUCAAGCUUAACUUGGAAACUGCCAUGGAUACUAUUUGUCUUGAAUGUUGUGGAGGUAAGCGGAAUAUGUCAUGUAGCGGUGAAAUGCUUAGAUAUGACAUAGAACACCAAUUGCGAAGGCAGCUUACUACAACAAAUAUUGACGCUGAGGCACGAAAGCGUGGGGAUCAAACAGG
rnacentral:rRNA from 1 species